rnacentral:rRNA from 1 species
UCUGGUAAUGAUGGCAGAGAGGUCCCACCCGUUCCCAUACCGAACACGGAAGUUAAGCUCUCUAGCGCCGAUGGUAGUUGGGACCUUGUCCCUGUGAGAGUAGGACGUCGCCGAGC